rnacentral:rRNA from 1 species
AUCCACGGCCAUAGGACUUUGAAAACACCGCAUCCCGUCCGAUCUGCGCAGUUAACCAGAGUGCCGCCUAGUUAGU